rfam:Photobacterium damselae subsp. damselae CIP 102761 Contig58, whole genome shotgun sequence.
GGUGUUUGCAAAAGUAAAUUUUGACGUUGUGGGAUAUCACCGCCAAUAUGAUAAGGCAACCCACAGUUAGCAAAAGAGAUAUACUGGCCUCGUUCAAAAAUAAUGAUUUCAGCAUCUUCACUUAAACGUCUUGCUCUUGCCGCGGCUGAAGCGCCUCCUGCAACACCAC